CGACUUACUCAAUAGGGGAUAGUCUGAGAUCAAUAACAUAGCAAUCCUGGGUAAGGAUAUUCUUUGCAUUCCAGGUAUGCUGAUGCUUGUGGUUUCCCAGAAUGUGGAGAAGCUGACUGUGUAAUUUGUAGAAUGAACAUUUUUAAAAAUAAA
rnacentral:snRNA from 12 species